UGGAUUUUUAACAAAGUUCACUCCAUCUAUUGCUAACUGUGAACUUGGAUUGACCAUGCCUACAGGGACAACUGGAAAACUGAAAUGAAGACUUACAAGCCAAGCACUCGGGCAAUCUUUGUCCUCCCAGUUGACUUAAGAACACUUGCGAAGGAAACGUGAACUCUCCAGAGCUCAGAGUCUCGUUCUGUCACCCAGGCUGGGGUGCAGUGGCGCGAUCUGGGCUCACCACUCCCUGGAUUCAAGCUGUUCUCCUGCAUCAGCCUCCAGAGUAGCUGGGAUUACAGGCAUGCGCCCCCACGCCCGCCGACCUUCCCUUCUUGCUGUACUCUUACCAAGACCGCC
rnacentral:lncRNA from 13 species